UCGCAACCGAUUUCGAGGAGAACACAAUGGAGGACUUCUUCAUGGCUGAGAAGAGGGGACAAAACUUGAAGAAGUACAAGUACUGCGAACAAUUCCACCAGGAUUGCUGGUGCGGCAGGAGGUCAGGCAAGGUCGUCUUCUGUAGCGGCGCUGGAACUGGAGACAGUAUGUAAAGCCCCACACUAACCCGGAUAUAUCGAACCGACCUCCCUCUUGGAACCGUAAUCGGCAUUACAGUGCUUAACCCUAUGAAUGUUUUUUUCAUGGACACUUAGAGUUCAUUUAAUGUCCCUUGAAUGAAUGACACGGCCGUCUACACUCAGUUUGAUGUGAUGUUCUUGGUAUGAUCUAUCCAAUAGU